rnacentral:tRNA from 1 species
GCAGGGGUAGCCAAGCCUGGUCAUUCCUUUCCUUAGGAAAGACUUUGUAAGACACCCCAAAAGAAAGGAUUCCAGAAAAAGGUGCAGGGCUAAGGACCCUGUCCGUUAGUCGGUUCGGGAGUUCGAAUGAAGCUUUUUCUUGCAAGAAAAAGCCCCAGGCGCAAAAAGAAGCAGAUUCCGCUUCGCGGAAGAUUACUGCUGAAGUUUGCUUUGCGAAAGUCUCCCCCCCUGCA